UUCAGGGUAGAGUGUUUCACAACAAUCCUGGCCCUUUCGUAGGUCAUUUUUUCUUCUGCUGCGUUGCGAGUGUUUUCUCUAUUUUUUGGAAGCCAUCUUCUCUUCCAUGGAAACCAUUCUUGGGCAAAGCUCAAGAACAUCGUUGAGGAUUUCCUUUUCUCCUUCUAUUAGCUUUCAAUUUCUGACAUAUAUCUGUUUCAUUUCUCUUUUCCUCUUUCAUUCUCUUGUAUUUUGCUACCUUUUUCCAUAAUCAUUUCCCCUAAUUUCAAUAUAAACUCUUUCCCUUUUUAUACCUUUUUAUUGCAUGUCAAUUAUUACACUCAUAAUUUCUCAAUAAUACUAGUAAUCGUAUGUAAAACAAAGCAUGGAAUUGGCGACUACAUUGUUUUUAGUUGAGACUAUUUCUAAAUUAAAAAUUAGUUCUGAGAGAUAAGUUGCAAACAAAUAGAUCUAUAUGUUAUUUUGGUUUCCAUUUGGAGAAUAGUUUAGGAUUCGUGUUUUAGCAUUUAAGUUAAUGUUUGGCUUUUAAUUUGUAGGUGGUGCUUCACCAGAGUCACUUGCCAAAUGUGCAAUGCAAUUUUCUCAAAAAUAUAGUAUCAGAGAUGCACGAUAGGUUUGGACAUUUCAAAGAACAAAAAGUUUUUUUUAGCUAAGAGACAGUCUAGAAGUGUUUGCAAUUUGAAUUAUGCAAGGGACAAAGAACUCGCAAUAGCAAGUUAACUUCCAUGGACUUGAGUUUUCUAGUGGAUCAGAGAAAUGGUCCUAGGACUAAUGUAAGGUCAGGAUGAAUUUAAGGUGAUCCAAAAGCCAGAGUUUUAAUUAGAUGUACUGCACUAAUGUCAGAUGCCAUGCAACAGGUUUGGUAUAAUACUAUUUUAAAUCAUGAAAACAAAGUGGAUGACAAAAUUUCAAGGAAAAA